rnacentral:misc_RNA from 1 species
GCAAACUUGGUCAUUUAGAGGAAGUAAAAGUCGUAACAAGGUUUCCGUAGGUGAACCUGCGGAAGGAUCAUUAAAGAUGACUCCCCGGGGUGGACUCGGCUGUAGCUGGCUGGCUUUCUGAGCCGGCACGUGCACGUCGUCCGCUCUGGAACAUCCCCCACACACACCCAUUUGUGCACCUGGAGAAGGACGCGAGCAGGUCCACCCUGCCUCUGCGCCCUUCGCGAAUCCUGAAUCCACGUCUCAUGUCUGUAUGUCUCUGGCGCUCAGUCGCCCUUGAAUACAAAGUUUCAACAACGGAUCUCUUGGCUCUCGCAUCGAUGAAGAACGCAGC